GACAGAGGGUGCAAACGUUGCUCGGAAUUACUGGGCGUAAAGCGCGUGUAGGUGGUCACGCAAGUCAGGUGUGAAAGCCCAGGGCUCAACCCUGGAAGUGCACAUGAUACUACGUGGCUGGAGUACUGAAGAGGAGAGCGGAAUUCCCGGUGUAGAGGUGAAAUUCGUAGAUAUCGGGAGGAACACCAGUGGCGGAAGGCGGCUCUCUGGGCAGAUACUGACACUGAGACGCGGAAAGCGUGGGUAGCAAACAGG
rnacentral:rRNA from 1 species